rnacentral:rRNA from 1 species
GACGAACGCUGGCGGCGUGCUUAACACAUGCAAGUCGAACGGAAAGGCCCUGCUUUUGUGGGGUGCUCGAGUGGCGAACGGGUGAGUAACACGUGAGUAACCUGCCCUUGACUUUGGGAUAACUUCAGGAAACUGGGGCUAAUACCGGAUAGGAGCUCCUGCUGCAUGGUGGGGGUUGGAAAGUUUCGGCGGUUGGGGAUGGACUCGCGGCUUAUCAGCUUGUUGGUGGGGUAGUGGCUUACCAAGGCUUUGACGGGUAGCCGGCCUGAGAGGGUGACCGGCCACAUUGGGACUGAGAGACGGCCCAGACGCCUACGGGAGGCAGCAGUGGGGAAUAUUGCACAAUGGGCGGAAGCCUGAGGCAGCAACGCCGGGUGCGGGAUGCCGGCCUUCGGGUUGUAAACCGCUUUCGCCUGUGACGAAGCGUGAGUGACGGUAAUGGGUAAAGAAGCACCGGCUAACUACGUG